GAUGAACGCUAGCGGCAGGCUUAAUACAUGCAAGUCGAGGGACAGCACAGGUAGCAAUACUGGGUGGUAACCGGCAAACGGGUGCGGAACACGUACACAACCUUCCUUUACGUGGGGGAUAGCCCAGAGAAAUUUGGAUUAAUACCCCGUAAUAUAGUUGAAGGGCAUCCUAUGAUUAUUAUAGUCAUGGCGCUUAAUGCUGGGUGUUCGGCUGAUUAGAUAGUUGGCGGGGUAACGGCCCACCAAGUCUACGAUCAGUAGCUGAUGUGAGAGCAUGAUCAGCCACACGGGCACUGAGACACGGGCCCGACUCCUACGGGAGGCAGCAGUAAGGAAUAUUGGUCAAUGGACGCAAGUCUGAACCAGCCAUGCCGCGUGAGGGAUUAAGGUCCUCUGGAUUGUAAACUUCUUUUAUUUGGGACGAAAAAGGGCCUUUCUAGGUCAACUGACGGUACCAGAUGAAUAAGCACCGGCUAACUCCGUGCCAGCCGCCGCCGUAA
rnacentral:rRNA from 1 species